rnacentral:rRNA from 1 species
UACGGGGGGGGCAAGCGUUGUUCGGAAUUACUGGGCGUAAAGGGCUCGUAGGCGGCCAACUAAGUCAGACGUGAAAUCCCCAGGCUCAACUUGGGAACUGCGUCUGAUACUGGAUGGCUUGAAUUCGGGAGAGGGAUGCAGAAUUCCAGGUGUAGCGGUGAAAUGCGUAGAUAUCAGGAGGAACACCAGUGGCGAAAGCGGCCACCUGGACUGCACCUGACGCUGACACGCGAAAGCUAGGGGAGCGAACGGG